rnacentral:rRNA from 1 species
GCACGAGCGCACCCUCGCCUUUAGUUGCCAGCAUGUUGGGGUGGGCACUCUAAAGGAACUGCCGGUGACAAGCCGGAGGAAGGUGGGGAUGACGUCAAGUCCUCAUGGCCCUUAUGUCCUGGGCUACACACGUGCUACAAUGGCGGUGACAGUGGGAAGCCAGGCAGCGAUGCCGAGCUGAUCUCCAAAAGCCGUCUCAGUUCGGAUUGCACUCUGCAACUCGGGUGCAUGAAGGUGGAAUCGCUAGUAAUCGUGGAUCAGCAUGCCACGGUGAAUACGUUCCCGGGCCUUGCACACACCGCCCGU